rnacentral:rRNA from 1 species
UACGAAGGGGGCUAGCGUUGCUCGGAAUUACUGGGCGUAAAGCGUGCGUAGACGGUCAUGUAAGUCGGGUGUGAAAGCCCCGGGCUCAACCUGGGAAUUGCAUUCGAGACUGCAUGGCUAGGAUGCGGAAGAGGGAAGCGGAAUUUCCGGUGUAGCGGUGAAAUGCGUAGAUAUCGGAAGGAACACCAGUGGCGAAAAGCGGCUUCCUGGUCCAGCAUCGACGUCAGGCACGAAAGCGUGGGGAGCAAACAGG